UCCAUGACGAUCUUGCGGAUCACCGACGGAGUCAUGACGACGGUCAGCGUCAGCGGAUAAUCCUGCAAUACCCACGGCACGUCGCUGCCGAUAGCUUCGCUUGCCUGCCGGAAGUAACCGGUGAUUUGCUCGUCGGUGCGCAGGUGUGUCGGCGGAGCGAUCAUCACAGCGGCGGCGCCGGCGUCCAUCGAUGCGCGCGCGAGUGUGCGCAUCUGCGCAAAGCCCGGCGCGGAGACACCCA
rnacentral:misc_RNA from 1 species